rnacentral:snRNA from 1 species
AUGCUCACCUGGCUAGAGAAAUACCAUGAUCUCAAAAAUGGUUUUCCCAGGACGAGGUUUAUCCAUUGCACUUCAGAUGUGCUGACCCCUGCAAUUUCCCCAAAUGUAGGAAACUCGACUGCAAAUUGUGGUAGUGGGAGAGGGGCACUUGUGCUUUCCCCUAG